rnacentral:rRNA from 1 species
CCUACGGGAGGCAGCAGUGAGGAAUAUUGGACAAUGGGGGCAACCCUGAUCCAGCAAUUCUGUGUGCACGAAGAAGGUUUUCGGAUUGUAAAGUGCUUUCAGCAGGGAAGAAGAAAGUGACGGUACCUGCAGAAGAAGCGACGGCUAAAUACGUGCCAGCAGCCGCGGUAAUACGUAUGUCGCAAGCGUUAUCCGGAAUUAUUGGGCAUAAAGGGCAUCUAGGCGGCCAGACAAGUCUGGGGUGAAAACUUGCGGCUCAACCGCAAGCCUGCCCUGGAAACUGUUUGGCUAGAGUGCUGGAGAGGUGGACGGAACUGCACGAGUAGAGGUGAAAUUCGUAGAUAUGUGCAGGAAUGCCAAUGAUGAAGAUAGUUCACUGGACGGCAACUGACGCUGAAGUGCGAAAGCUAGGGGAGCGAACAGGAUUAGAUACCCUGGUAGCCCUAGCUGUAAACGAUGAUUACUGGGUGUGGGCAUGAAGAGUGUCCGUGCCGAAGCAAAUGCGAUAAGUAAUCCGCCUGGGGAGUACGGCCGCAAGGCUGAAACUCAAAGGAAUUGACGG